GUCUAUGGCCAUACCACCCUGAAAAAGCACGAUCUCAUCUGAUCUCGGAAGCUAAGCACGGUUGGGCCUGGUUAGUACUUGGAUGGGAGACCACCUAGGAAGACCAGGUGCUGUAGGCG
rnacentral:rRNA from 1 species